GGCGUGGUUCGGUGACAAGCUGCCUAGCUUGUCGAAUUUAAAGGGCCAGAUAACAACCUUUACGAAGGAAGUUUUGUCGGAGGGCAUUGUAGAAACAAUAGACGAACGAUCUACAGCAUUAAAUGAAGCGAACAAAAGGUGUGUCGAACUUCAAGAAUUACUCAACUCGAAAGACGCUGAAAUUUCGCACCUGCGUCGGCAGAAUUGGGAGCUCCAGAAGACUGUCUUUGAACCGAACUCGAAACCAAAGGAUUCG